rnacentral:ncRNA from 1 species
GGGCGAGAACCCCUCUCCAUGGGGUGCAUUGCCGACCGACCUUGAGCUUGUGCGAAGGGUUCGAGUGCGAGCACACCUGUUGGGACCCGAAAGAUGGUGAACUAUGCCCGAGCAGGGCGAAGCCAGAGGAAACUCUGGUGGAGGCCCGUAGCGAUAUUGACGUGCAAAUCGUUCGUCUGACUUGGGUAUAGGGGCAAAAGACUAAUUGAACCAUCUAGUAGCUGGUUUCCUCCGAAGUUUCCCUCAGGAUAGUUGGAGCUCACGUGCGAGUUUUAUCAGGUAAAACAAAUGAUUAGAGGCAUCGGGGGUGUAACGCCCUCGACCUAUUCUCAAACUUUAAAUAGGUAAGACGGUGCGGCUGCUCCAUUGAGUCGUGCCACGAAAUCGAGAGCUCCAAGUGGGCCAUUUUUGGUAAGCAGAAUUGGCGAUGCGGGAUGAACCGAAAGUCGAGUUACGAUGCCAAACUGCGCUCUAACCCAGAUCCCACAAAGGGUGUUGGUUGAUUAAGACAGCAGGACGGUGGUCAUGGAAGUCAAAAUCCGCUAAGGAGUGUGUAACAACUCACCUGCCGAAUCAACUAGCCCCGAAAAUGGAUGGCGCUAAAGUGUGCAACCUAUACUCGACCUUCGAAGAAAUUGCCAGGCUUCGAUGAGUAGGAGGACGCGGGGGUCGUUGAGAAACCUUGGGCGUGAGCCUGGGUGGACCGGUCCCCGGUGCAGAUCUUGGUGGUAGU